rnacentral:rRNA from 1 species
AUACCAGCUGGCUGCAACUGUUUAUUAAAAACACAGCACUGUGCAAACACGAAAGUGGACGUAUACGGUGUGACGCCUGCCCGGUGCCGGAAGGUUAAUUGAUGGGGUCAGCGCAAGCGAAG